GAAAUGCGAUAAGUAAUGUGAAUUGCGGAAUUCAGUGAAUCAUCGAAUCUUUGAACGCGCCUUGCGCUCCUUGGUAUUCCUUGGAGCAUGCCUGUUUGAGUAUCAUGAAAUCUUCAAAGUAAAUCUUUUGUUAACUCAAUUGGUUUCUACUUUGGUAUUGGAGGUCUUUGCAGCUUCACACCUGCUCCUCUUUGUUCAUUAGCUGGAUCUCAGUGUUAUGCUUGGUUCCACUCGGCGUGAUAAGUUAUCUAUCGCUGAGGACACUGUAAAAGGUGGCCAAGGUAAAUGCAGAUGAACCGCUUCUAAUAGUCCAUUGACUUGGACAAUACUUUUAUGAUCUGAUCUCAAAUCAGGUAGGACUACCCGCUGAACUUAAGC
rnacentral:misc_RNA from 1 species